ACGAACGCUGGCGGCGUGCUUAACACAUGCCAGUCGAACGGAAAGGCCCUGCUUUUGUGGGGUGCUCGAGUGGCGAACGGGUGAGUAACACGUGAGUAACCUGCCCUUGACUUUGGGAUAACUUCAGGAAACUGGGGCUAAUACCGGAUAGGAGCUCCUGCUGCAUGGUGGGGGUUGGAAAGUUUCGGCGGUUGGGGAUGGACUCGCGGCUUAUCAGCUUGUUGGUGGGGUAGUGGCUUACUAAGGCUUUGACGGGUAGCCGGCCUGAGAGGGUGACCGGCCACAUUGGGACUGAGAUACGGCCCAGACUCCUACGGGAGGCAGCAGUGGGGAAUAUUGCACAAUGGGCGGAAGCCUGAUGCAGCAACGCCGCGUGCGGGAUGACGGCCUUCGGGUUGUAAACCGCUUUCGCCUGUGACGAAGCGUGAGUGACGGUAAUGGGUAAAGAAGCACCGGCUAACUACGUG
rnacentral:rRNA from 1 species